GCCCAGGUGGCGAAAUUGGCAGACGCACUACCUUGAGGUGGUAGCGCUGGCAACGGCGUGCUGGUUCAAGUCCAGUCCUGGGCA
rnacentral:tRNA from 1 species